rnacentral:misc_RNA from 1 species
GAUGAAGAACGCAGCGAAAUGCGAUACGUAAUGUGAAUUGCAGAAUUCAGUGAAUCAUCGAGUCUUUGAACGCACAUUGCGCCCCCUGGUAUUCCGGGGGGCAUGCCUGUCCGAGCGUCAUUGCUGCCCUCAAGCACGGCUUGUGUGUUGGGCCUCCGCCCCCCGGCUCCCGGGGGGCGGGCCCGAAAGGCAGCGGCGGCACCGCGUCCGGUCCUCGAGCGUAUGGGGCUUCGUCACCCGCUCCGUAGGCCCGGCCGGCGCCCGCCGGCGACCCCCCUCAAUCUUUCCAGGUUGACCUCGGAUCAGGUAGGGAUACCCGCUGAACUUAAGCAUAUCAGCGGAGGA